rnacentral:misc_RNA from 1 species
AACACCUUGUUCUCCACUGUGAUGGCAAGCUGUUAAAAUAUUUAGAUGAAAAUACCUUGCAAUCUGUCGUAAGAGAUAGUUGCUGUCAGUGUUACCAGCCCUGAUUUUGAAAAAUAAAAAUCUCUUACUUGGUGUUUUACCUGCAGAGUCUGACAAAGCUGUUGAUUAAAUAGAAAUUAUUCACAACUUACUUGAGUCCUUUGAAAUAUGCAAUGAAAUUUUCGCAAUUGUUGCAGAUACUACCAAUGGUUAUACAGGAGCUCAUGCAGGAAUUCUGACCAGAUUGUGCUAUAUUUUGGGAAAACCUGUUCUCUGGCUGUUAUGCAGACAUCACAUGUUUGAAAUAGCAAUACAUAGGGCAAUUGUAAUUGUCCUUGGAGUUACUGCUGCACCACAUCGACAGUUCUAAGAUUUCAAGAAGGACUGGGAAGUAUAUCACGCUAUAGCUCAAAAAGUUGACCUGUUUGAGUUUAAGAAAUUUGAUGAGAAGAAGCUGGAAGUUGAAUCUGAACUUCAUAAGCUUUACCUGGAUGCUCAGGAAUAUCUGAAGUUUGCUCUUAAUUACGAAGUGUUUCCAAGAGAUGAUUACAAUCAUCUAGUAAAGUAUGCUGCAUUUUAUUUAAAUGUCUUAUCACCAAAGCUGAAUGAUUUUGAAAUUCAUCAACCAGGAGCCAAUCACAAUGCUCAUUUCAUGGCUGACAGUCUUUACAAUUUAGCUUUUGUUAUGACAUCAGGCAGCUUCAUUUGAAAAUAGAUAGUGGUUGUUGAAGCAGUAUGAGUUUGAUGACACUAUCCAACUUUUGUGUGAUAUGCUUCAGUCAUCGAAUAUGACUUUGACACAUAAUGCAUCUUUUGCCAUAGCAAGAUUGUGUUGAAAUCUUCAAGUUGCAUGGCUCAAGUGUUAUUGUGGAUGGAUAUUUUGCAAGUACUAAUUUGCAAUGUUUUACUCAAGUGAAGGUGCAAAAUGUUCUUUAAAUGAAGUAGUGUUUAAUGACACUCCAGAAUCAGGAUAUCAGAUCUCAUUGGCAAAAAUGUCAUUCUAAUAGAUGCACGUUGUAAACUAGCAAUGCUAUUAAGUAAAAAGUUACUUUUUUGACUCCAAAGAAUACAACAAUAGCAAAGAUGAGAAAAGAAUAAGGAAAAAUAAAUUAUUUGAAAAGUUUGGAUUGGAACAUAGUAACAAAUUAGAGAAAGCAUACUGUUAGCUCAUAUUAUUUUGCACCCUCACCCCCUCAAUUACAUGUUCAUGGUAAAACAGAGAUUUCUAUUGAGUGGGAUCCUCCUAAAAAUCUUCUUGGCAGAUUAAAUUAUUAUGAACUUAGAAUGGAUAACAUGGUAAUAUAUAGAGAAAUUGACGACUGUUUUACUGCGCAAGCUCUUCAUCCAACUAAAGUUUAUAGCUUUACAGUUUCAGCUUGGAUGAGUGAGGGUAGAUGCGAAAGUUUACCCAGAACACGUCGAAUCAGCAAGCAAUGUAAUUUGUUUCAAUAUAUCCAAAUAUUAAUAAUAAUAUAAAAA